GACAGAGAAGGAAGGGAGAGAGGUGGGGGAGAAGAAGAAAGGGAGAGGGGAAGGGAGGAAGGAAGAGGGAAGGAGGGAGAGAGACAGGGAGGGGAAAGGAAGAGAGAGAAGGGUGAGGGAGUGAGACAGAAACAGAGGGAGGGAGAGAGAGGGGAGAAAGGAGAGAGGGAGGGAGACAGACAGACAUAGAGAAGGAAAGGAGAGAGGUGGGGGAGAAGAAGGAAGGGAGGGGAAGGAAGGGAGGAAGAAGGAAGGAGGGAGAGAGGCAGGAAGACAGAGACAGAGGGAGGGAGAGACAGAAGGGAGACAGACAGAGAAGGAAGGGAGAGACAGAAAGAAAAAGGAAGAGGGGGAGGCAGAGAAGAAAAAGAAAGGGAGAGAGAGAGGAAGGGAGGGGUAGAGAGACAGGGAGGGAGAAGGAAGGGAGAGAGAGACAGACAGAGAGAUAGGGAGACAGAGACAGGCACUAGGACAGAGAAUAGGCAGAGACAGAGACAGAGAGAUCAUCUAAUUCACUUCUCUCAUUUUACAAACCAAGACCCAGAAAAGUUCCAGUGGCCUGCUCAAGGUCUCUGUUUCAGGUCUGUGUUGGAAAUUUUAGCACUUGGCAUAUGGUUAGUAUUUAAUUAGUGCUUUCCAGGUGACUUGGGGACCAUCAUCAUUGUUGUGUCCAAUUCUUCAUGACCCCCUUCAGGAUUUUCUUGGCAAAGAUACUGGAGCGGUUUGCCAUUUCUAUCUCCAGCUCAUUUGACAGAUGAGAAAACCAAGGCACAAAUGGAGUUAAGUGACUUGCCCAAGGUCACACAGCUAGAAAGUGUCUAAGACUUGAAUUUGAAUUCAUGAUGUGGAGUCUUCGUGACUCCAGGCCUGGCACUCUACUAGCUGCCCAAUUGGCCAUACAGAUAGCAAAUAUAUGAACUAGAAUCUGAACCCAAGAUCAGAUUCCAAGUUUAGACCCAGGUUUUACUACUCCACGUUGCUGACCUGGUCCUUUUUUGUGUGUGAGGACCCUGCGACCUUUAUCCACUGUUUCCCCGAAGUUCCCAGCAGCUCCUGAGCUACAUAGGGUGGUCUCCUAGUUCAGACCUGAGCUUUUCCUACCAUAUUGUUGCCUAUGCCCAGAAUGCCCCACUCUCUCCGGUCUCUACCUAUGGCUAUCCUGUCCAAUCAAAACUCCUACCACACUUCGGAAGGAGGGAGGGGGGGAGGCAUUGCGGUGGUGUUUGGCAUUCUUCUUGUUCUCACUGCUAUUAAGAAUAAUUGGCCCUGGGUUGACCACAAUGUGCUGGGAAGGCCCUGGCCGCCGGCCAAGCUGUGGUCUGGCCACUGAAGCAAGCGGACACACUAGGGCAUUUUAGUGGGGAGGAUGUUUCCUUUUGCAGACAAGCGAAGAAUGCCCCUGCCAGGGCAGGUACGGGGGGAAGGCUCGGUGCACACUCCGCAGAUUCCCGUGGGGGCCGUGCGGCCUGGGUCUCCCUCGAGUUGCAGCUGCUUCAGACUCCCCGGUGGGCCUCCAUUCAUCGGCAGCAGGCGUGUGUGGCCCGUGCGGUGUGGCUCGCGGGAGUCUGCUCGUUGGAUUGCACCCUGGAAGCAGCCGGGAUUCUCUCAUCCAGCUCCCUCCCGCGCAGACUGGCCCAGACAAAGGGAGUUCUUUGUCCAAGGUGCGCCAUGUCUCCCUGAAUUUCUUGACUUGGACUCCAUGAGCAGAGCCAACUUGAAACCAGGCUCUACUUUAACACAAUCAGCCGACCGGCCUACUUCUACAAAGUCACAUCCAUUGUGAUCGACUCCCAGAGUUACUGGCCUACUCGGGAUGUCACCACUUCUUUCCUGGUCUACAAUGGUUCCCCAAUUGCUUUCCCGCUCUCCAGUCCAUAUUUCACACAGAAAUUAAAAUUGUCUUACUAAGGUGUAGAUCUGGUCCUGUUAGUCCUCUGCUCAAAAACCACCCAUGACUCCCUAUUGGGGGGACUCUUUGGCCCGGCAUUUGAAAGCUGUCAUAACCUGACUCAACUGUACCUUUCUAGCCUUGUUCAUGUCAAAAUGGUCCUCUGAGCUGCUUCCUCAUGUUGUCCUGCCAUCUCUGGUCUCAGCAUAGACCAUCUGUGCAGACCAUGGCCUCAGACCUGGGAAGAGUUACCCUCUUUGCCUCAACCUUUUGAAAUCUGUUUCUUCCUUCGAGGCCCAAGGACCCAGGUCCUCCCUCCAUAAGGCCUUUCCUGACUAGCUCUCCAUCUUCUCUUCUUCCCAGUUGCUGGCUGAAGGAAGGGCAUCUUCCCCCAUGUCUUGUCUGGGGCUCUGUCUCCUUUGCCCCACAGCCCCUUGGUGGGUAGACAUCCCGGAUUCUGCUGCUGAUGGGUCUCAGCCUUGAGCUCAGCUGGCCCUCAGACAACACCGUCUCCUUCCAGGCCGCCAUUCGAAGUCCUUCCAAUUUGGCAGGUACCUCCACUUUGUGUUCUGUUGGCACAGGUUUCCAGAGCCCAGGGUCACCUCCACUCCAGAGGAUGAAGUGACUGGAGGAGACUGUCUGAGCCUGAAAGAACUUCAGCAAUCACCCAGAUUGAUCCCUUUGUUUGACAGAGGGAAAAACUGAGGCCCUGAGACAAUUCCCUAACACUGAAGUGAAUUGUACAAAAUGGACUUGCUCCCAGGUCUCCCUGCCUGAAGCCCUCCCAGUUAUACAACAGUCAGAUCUGUCUCUCCUGUGCUGAGGGGGAGCCCAAACUCCCAACAACAUGGUAAGAUCCCUAAGGGUCAGGAUUGGCUUGAGAGA